GGAUGCGAUCAUACCAGCACUAAAGCACCGGA
rnacentral:rRNA from 8 species